UGGGGAAUAUUGCACAAUGGGCGCAAGCCUGAUGCAGCCAUGCCGCGUGUAUGAAGAAGGCCUUCGGGUUGUAAAGUACUUUCAGCGGGGAGGAAGGCGAUAAGGUUAAUAACCUUGUCGAUUGACGUUACCCGCAGAAGAAGCACCGGCUAACUCCGUGCCAGCAGCCGCGGUAAUACGGAGGGUGCAAGCGUUAAUCGGAAUUACUGGGCGUAAAGCGCGCGCAGGCGGUCUGUCAAGUCUGAUGUGAAAUCCCCGGGCUCAACCUGGGAACUGCAUUCGAAACUGGCAGGCUAGAGUCUUGUAGAGGGGGGUAGAAUUCCAGGUGUAGCGGUGAAAUGCGUAGAGAUCUGGAGGAAUACCGGUGGCGAAGGCGGCCCCCUGGACAAAGACUGACGCUCAGGUGCGAAAGCGUGGGGAGCAAACA
rnacentral:rRNA from 1 species